rnacentral:rRNA from 1 species
CCCUUAGACGUUCUGGGCCGCACGCGCGCUACACUGACCAGUGCAACAAGCAUCCGUCCUUGGCCGACAGGCCCGGGCAAUCUUUGAACGCUGGUCGUGAUGGGGAUAGACUUUUGCAAUUUUUGGUCUUCAACGAGGAAUUCCUAGUAAACGCAAGUCAUCAACUUGCAUUGAUUACGUCCCUGCCCUUUGUACACACCGCCCGUCGCACCUACCGAUUGAAUGGUCCGGUGAAGCCUCCGGAUUGGCGCGCACCUCGGUGCCGCCGAGAAGUUGGCUAAACCUUACCAUUUAGAGGAAGGUGUAGUCGUANCA